UGCCAGCCGCCGCGGUAAGACAGGAGGAGCAAGUGUUAUUCAGAAUUACUGGGCGUAAAGCGUGCGUAGGCGGUUUAUUAAGUCAGAUGUGAAAGCCCCGGGCUUAACCUGGGAACUGCAUUUGAAACUGGUAAACUAGAGUAUGGUAGAGGAAAGUGGAAUUUCUGGUGUAGCGGUGAAAUGCGUAGAUAUCAGAAGGAACAUCAAUGGCGAAGGCAGCUUUCUGGACCAAUACUGACGCUGAGGUACGAAAGCGUGGGUAGCAAACAGGAUUAGAUA
rnacentral:rRNA from 1 species